CCUACGGGGGACAGCAGUGAGGAAUAUUGGACAAUGGGCGCGAGCCUGAACCAGCAAAGCAGCGUGAAGGAUGAAUGCCCUACGGGUUGUAAACUUCUUUUAUAAAGGAAUAAAGUGAGGCACGUGUGUCUUUAUGUAUGUACUUUAUGAAUAAGGAUCGGCUAACUCCGUGCCAGCAGCCGCGGUAAUACGGAGGAUCCGAGCGUUAUCCGGAUUUAUUGGGUUUAAAGGGAGCGUAGAUGGGGUGUUAAGUCAGUUGUGAAAGUUUUCGGCUCAACCGUAAAAUUGCAAUUGAUACUGGCAGCCUUGAGUACAGUUGAGGUGGGCGGAAUUCGUGGUGUAGCGGUGAAAUGCUUAGAUAUCACGAAGAACUCCGAUUGCGAAGGCAGCUUACUAAUCUGCCACUGACAUUGAUGCUCGAAAGUGUGGGUAUCAAACAGGAUUAGAUACCCUGGUAGUC
rnacentral:rRNA from 1 species